rnacentral:rRNA from 1 species
CACUUUCAACAACGGAUCUCUUGGCUCUCGCAUCGAUGAAGAACGUAGCGAAGUGCGAUAAGUAUUGUGAAUUGCAGAAUUCCGUGAAUCAUCGAAUUUUUGAACGCAAAUUGCACUCCCUGGUAUUCCGGGAAGUAUGCCUGUUUGAGG